rnacentral:ncRNA from 1 species
UAGAUAGAGGCGCGGUACUCAUCAGUACCUCCGGCAAGGUCGUGCAGCCGUCGGAUGGGAAAGGGAUCACCGCCGAAGCGGGAACCGGUUGCCCGACCCUUUCCUGCUGGGCCGUCAGAGAAUAUCUGCCGGACUGUCACAAAACUUUGUGAAGCGCUAUCA